AGCCUCGUAGCUCAGUUGGCUAGAGCGUUGGCUGUACUAAAGCCUUCCCCUUGCUGGCCUGGGUUCGAAUCUCACCGAGGCCA
rfam:Schistocephalus solidus strain NST_G2 genome assembly, scaffold: SSLN_scaffold0006594